UACGUAAGGUCCGAGCGUUGUCCGGAAUCAUUGGGCGUAAAGGGUACGCAGGCGGAUAAGCAAGUUAGCAGUGAAAUCCUAUAGCUCAACUAUAGUAAGCUUUUAAAACUGCUCAUCUUGAGGUAUGGAAGGGAAAGUGGAAUUCCUAGUGUAGCGGUGGAAUGCGCAGAUAUUAGGAGGAAUACCAGUGGCGAAGGCGACUAUCUGGCCAUUUUCUGACGCUGAGGUACGAAAGCGAGGGUAGCAAACAGG
rnacentral:rRNA from 1 species